UACGUAGGGGCCUAGCGUUGUCCGGAUUUAUUGGGCGUAAAGAGCUCGUAGGCGGUUCGGUAAGUCAGGUGUGAAAUCUCCACGCUCAACGUGGAGGCGCCACCUGAAACUGCCGUGACUCGAGUCCGGUAGGGGAGUGUGGAAUUCCCGGUGUAGCGGUGGAAUGCGUAGAGAUCGGGAAGAACAUCGGUGGCGAAGGCGGCCUGCUGGGCUCUUGCUGACACUGAUGCGCGACAGCGUGGGGAGCAAACAGG
rnacentral:rRNA from 1 species